AAUUCCAACACCUGCCAUCUUUGUAGAGAAUGAAUACAUAAGGCAAAUGUAAAAGCAAACAUUCAUACAUUUGAGCCUGACAGAAGCCAGACUGGAGUGUUAACAUCAUGCAGAGUUGUCAACAGCAACAUGUCCUUUGUGAUCAUGGAGAGAGACUGAGGGUGAUGUUUCAUGCAUCUGAUGGAGAUGACCAUCCUCCACAGCCCAGUACAAUACAUAUCUGUUCACAGAUCAGGGCACCUUUCCAAGGAGUCCUUGAAAAUACAGGACAGCUCCCCAUCCCAUCUGCCAUAACAAUAGACGUUUUGCUGGUCCAGUAAUAAAAUACGCUUCUGCAUCA